GGGUAACAUUAAUUCAUAGUUUGUUCAGUUCAGAAGGAAUGGAAGUACGGAGAUGUAUCAAACAAUCAGAAAUAUCCACACACAAUUAUGUACAAAUGAAA